GAGACGGAUCUCUUUGAGGCCCGUUAUCGGAAUGAGAACAAUUCAAAUCCUUUAACGAGGAUCUAGCGGAGGGCAAGUCUGGUGCCAGCAGCCGCGGUAAUUCCAGCUCCGCAGGUGUAUAUCUAUGCUGCUGCGGUUAAAAAGCUCGUAGUUGGAUCUGCGUGCUCGGAACCGGUUGGCUCACUGAGUCCAAACUGGUCUCCGGCAUUUUAUCGGCUGGUUUUCCCUUGAUGCUCUUAACCGGGUGUCUAGGGAGGCUAGCACGUUUACUUUGAAAAAAAUUAGAGUGCUCAAUACAGGCGCAAUGCCUUGAAUAGUGGUGCAUGGAAUAAUAGAAAAGGACUUCGGUUCUAUUUUGUUGGUUUUCGGAAACACGAGGUAAUGAUUAAGAGGGAACAGACGGGGGCAUUCGUAUUGCUGCGUUAGAGGUGAAAUUCUUGGAAUCGUAGCAAGACGAACGACUGCGAAGGCAUUUGCCAA
rnacentral:rRNA from 1 species